AAUCUCCAUCCACCUGGCUAUAUAGCUGUCCUCACACCAAUUAAUUAGUGGUCGAAGUUGGGCUGCAUAGAAAUAUAUCCUAAAAUUUGGAUGUGCCAUUCCACCUUUGUCCUUUGGCAACUGGAGUGUAGUGCACCGCAUUCUCGCAAUCCUGGG